UACGUAGGGCGCAAGCGUUAUCCGGAAUUAUUGGGCGUAAAGAGCUCGUAGGCGGUUUGUCGCGUCGGCUGUGAAAACUCAGGGCUCAACCCUGAGCCUGCAGUCGAUACGGGCAGACUAGAGUAUGGCAGGGGAGACUGGAAUUCCUGGUGUAGCGGUGAAAUGCGCAGAUAUCAGGAGGAACACCGGUGGCGAAGGCGGGUCUCUGGGCCAUAACUGACGCUGAGGAGCGAAAGCGUGGGGAGCGAACAGG
rnacentral:rRNA from 1 species